GGAGAAUUAGGAAUAAGAAUAUGGUCA
rnacentral:piRNA from 1 species